rnacentral:rRNA from 1 species
GAUGAACGCUGGCGGCGUGCCUAACACAUGCAAGUCGAGCGAACAGACCAGGAGCUUGCUCUUCUGACGUUAGCGACGGACGGGUGAGUCACACGUGGAUAACCUUCCUCUUUGACUUGGCUAACUUCGGGAAGCCGGAGCUACUACUAGAUAAUCCUUCUAACUGCAUGGUUCAGUAGUGAUUCACGGUUUUGCUGUCAACUAUCGACGGAUCCGCGUCGCAUUAGCUAGUUGGUUGGGUAACGGCUUACCAAGGCAACGAUGCGUAGCCGAGCUGAGAGGGGGAUGGGCCACACUGGAACUGAGACACGGUCCAGACUCCGACGGGAGGCAGCAGUAGGGAAUGUAGGGCAAUGGGCGAAAGCCUGACGAAGCAACGCCGCGUGGGUGAAGAAGGUCUGCGGGUCGGAAAACGCUGUUAGUGGGGAAGAACAAAUGUGUAAGUAACGAUGCACGUCGUGACGGUACCUAAUCAAGAAGCAACGGCUAACUACGUG